GAGCGCGCGACAGCCUGGUUGACGCACGCGCCACUUCACACUGUGCUAUCGCGGAGUCCUAUUCGCUGCCGGCAAUCGUUCUAGUGAAAUUUACUAAUGAAUAUUACCGUGUACAAUACAGUGAAGCCAGUGUGUGACUACCGCAUGGAGCCCGCAUAUGGAACAUUUUUUAUCACAAGUGGAUUAUGACCUUCCAAGGUCAAUCAAGAUAUAAUCAUCAGAAAACGAGGAGUGUUUUAGAAAAAGCAAUCAACAAUCAACAAUUUGGUAAAAAUAGGAAUAUAACGUUAUAGCAGGCUUUAGCAGGCUUUUUAACAUUUGGUCACGGAUGAAUUCUACACAUACCCGUGGCCCUGUCGUUGAUGCGGCUUGACGGAACACAGUGGGGUUUUGGUCGGUAGGAAUCCGACAUAACCCACGGCCUCUUCCCCGGAGGAUAUAUGCAAGAUUUCCCCACUAAAAAAAAAGGCUUUUUAGCAUUUCAUCGAAUGUAACUUAUUUUUAGUCCAAAUAAAUAUUGUAGUUAUAAAACUCUAUAAAUAUCACAAUCUUAACAAGUGUUUAGGCGAAUGAAUAAUAUAGGUACUCUUGGCGAGGGCGACGUAAUUUCUCGGUCGAGGCUAACAAGCGUGCUCAAUCUUAUCUUUCGAAGAACUAAAUCAAUAUUAAAAUAAAAUCAAGUAAGAAUAAACUGAAUGGAAGAUACGUGUUUGCUUGAUCAUUAAUAUAGAAACAUCUUUUUCCAUUAUUUGAAAUUAUGACUUAACAUUCAUGAAACCCACACUUUUCAAACAGAAAAGUUCAUACCUCAUGUCUUUGAGUUGGCUCUAUGUUUUUUUAAAUAGAGUUUCGUCGCUAAAUGUCCAAUGAAAAUAUUAAUCAAUUAUUAUCUCUUCUACGAAUAAUGCUCUUAUCAUAUUCCCAAAUAAUAUGACUAACUGAUAGGAAAUUAAAUAUAAUUACAUAUUCCUCUUAUUGUCAUGAGAAGAGCAUAAAAAUAUUAAACUCAAUCACCUCAUGUACGCGACCUGCAUAUGAAAUAAGGAGUGAAUAAACGGAAGGACAUGACCACCAUAACUGAGGUCAAUAUAACCGACUUAAAUUUGUUUUCCGAGAACUAAUUGACUUUAAAAUCUGUCUUCGUGAUUUAAGUGAUUCUAUUUAUAAGAGGGGGGGCAUUAUAUAUUAUCGAGAUAUUUCUUUCCUUCGUAAUAAUAAUGGAAAAUAUUGCUUUAAAAACAACCUCAUAUUUUUAUUUAAAAGAGCAUGAAUAUAAUCUGACAGCUUGCACAUUUAGUACCUAAAGUAGAGUAAACAAGUGUUCUCGUUUUAAAAAUAAACAUUUCAUUUCCGUCUUUACAUUAUUUGCCAAGUAAAAAGAAGUAUAAAAUCAUCAGUAAAUUUAUAUGUUACUUAGAGUUGUUACUUUGUGAAUGUUCUUAGAUUCAAAUUGGACAUCUAGAAUCGUGAAUUUUAUCGUAUAAAAAGCGGCAUAAAAUAUAAUGGCGGGCUGAAGUGAUGACGCUCAACUUGGUCUGGGUUAACGACACCUGACUCACCGCUGAAGCUCCACAAUGUGGACUCUUCACAUAUCCCUACUUUGUAUUUGUUAUAAACAUGCUAUAAAAUAGAGGAAUCCUGUAUUAUUUGAUUUCUAGAAAAGGGUAUGAUAAUAACAUAAUACCUAAUAUCUCGCGUCAGAGUUUUUCAAAGGUUAAGCUAAAUUUUAUAUUAUUGUUUUUAUUCCUCCUGCUUUAGUGCAGUUAUUGUAAUAUUGUAGUGUAUUAAAAUAAAAUAAGUGAAA